GAUGAACGCUGGCGGCGUGCUUAACACAUGCAAGUCGAACGAGAAGUGAAGACGGAAACCUUCGGGCGGAAGGCUUUAUUUCGAGUGGCGGACGGGUGAGUAACGCGUGGGUAACCUGCCUCAUACAGGGGGAUAACCGUUGGAAACGACUGUUAAUACCGCAUAAGACCACAGCACCGCAUGGUGCGGGGGUAAAAACUCCGGUGGUAUGAGAUGGACCCGCGUUCGAUUAGCCAGUUGGCGGGGUAACGGCCCACCAAAGCGACGAUCGAUAGCCGAUCUGAGAGGAUGACCGGCCACAUUGGGACUGAGACACGGCCCGAACUCCUACGGGAGGCAGCAAUGGGGAAUAUUGCACAAUGGGGGAAACCCUGAUGCAGCGACGCCGCGUGAGUGAAGAAGUAUUUCGGUAUGUAAAGCUCUAUCAGCAGGGAAGAAAAUGACGGUACCUGAGUAAGAAGCCCCGGCUAACUACGUG
rnacentral:rRNA from 1 species